AUGAACGCUAAGCGGGAGGCUUAACACAUGCAAGUCGAGGGGCAGCAUAGGGUAGCAAUACCCUGAUGGCGACCGGCAAACGGGUGAGUAACGCGUAUGCAACAUACCUUGUGCAGGGGGAUAGCCCGUGGAAACGCGGAUUAAUAUUCCAUAGUCCAGCUAUAUCGCAUGGUAUAGUUGGUAAAGAUUUAUCGGCACAAGUUUGGCAUGCGUCUGAUUAGCUUGUUGGUAGGGUAACGGCCUACCAAGGCUACGAUCAGUAGGGGUUCUGAGAGGAUUAACCCCCACACUGGUACUGAGACACGGACCAGACUCCUACGGGAGGCAGCAGUGAGGAAUAUUGGUCAAUGGGCGGAAGCCUGAACCAGCCAUCCCGCGUGAAGGAAGACAGCCUUACGGGUUGUAAACUUCUUUUCUGUCAGAAGAAUAAGCUUGUCGAGACGAGUGAUGCCGGUAUGACAGGAAUAAGCAUCGGCUAACUCCGUG
rnacentral:rRNA from 1 species